UACGUAGGGGGGCAAGCGUUGUCCGGAUUUAUUGGGCGUAAAGAGCGUGUAGGCGGCCAAGCAGGUCAGCUGUGAAAAACUCGAGGCUCAACCUCGAGACGUCGGUUGAAACCGUUUGGCUAGAGUCCGGAAGAGGAGAGUGGAAUUCCCGGUGUAGCGGUGAAAUGCGCAGAUAUCGGGGAAGAACACCCGUGGCGAAGGCGGCUCUCUGGGACGGUACUGACGCUGAGACGCGAAAAGCGUGGGGGAGCGAAACAGG
rnacentral:rRNA from 1 species